CGGGACGGGUGAGUAAUGUCUGGGAAACUGCCUGAUGGAGGGGGGUAACGACUGGAAACGGUAGCUAAUACCGCAUAACGUCGCAAGACCAAAGAGGGGGACCUUCGGGCCUCUUGCCAUCGGAUGUGCCCAGAUGGGAUUAGCUAGUAGGUGGGGUAACGGCUCACCUAGGCGACGAUCCCUAGCUGGUCUGAGAGGAUGACCAGCCACACUGGAACUGAGACACGGUCCAG
rnacentral:rRNA from 1 species